GGGUGGCAAUGGCGGCUACUAAUUUCAAUUGGCGAUGGAUUGACUUAUUUUACCGUUGUUAGCAUGUGGUUUUUGUGAUUUCGUUUGUUAGAAUAAAUUUUGAGGGGUUUAAAAGCUUCUUACAUAAUGGCUGUUCACAAGUGACUGGGGUGGUUCUUUUCAUCAUCAUUAUUUUUUAGAAGUUUCAUGAUCAGUUAACUCUUUGGAGGGAACAUGUUUUCUUCAUGGUGGCAAAUUAGUUAAGG
rnacentral:misc_RNA from 1 species